UUCUUUAAACAACACCUCAAUAAAUUAGGAUAAACAAUUGAACAAGAAACAAAAUAUUACUUCCAUUCCAUACCACACGUGUACUCCCUUACAAGCAUUCACAAACACAAUUUAAAAUUCUUAUUUUAAAAGAAACCAACAACACACUCUCCUUCCUAAAAACCAUCGGCUAUUCUCUCUCUCUACUGAGUUCUUUCCCAAACAUUGAACAGAAGUUUAAAACUCUACUUGAAACUCAGUACCCAUCCACAAAUAAACCCCGUCGGCUCUCCCUCUCUCUCCCAGAAUCGCAACACCGAAAGAAUGAGAAAAAAAGAUUAGAACUCCGUCGCUUGCUCCAAAUCGCCGCUGCACCGGAGUCGACGCCGCUGCUGACUCUGAUUCGUCGCCCACGGAAGCUCCAGGUGCCGCCGCUGUCUCCGGCUGAACGGCAGCUGUCCCUCCUCCGUCUCUACCCUUCUUUCUUUCUCUCCGGUAGGGAUUAUAUUUUUCAGUUGAGACAGAGGGCUAAGGUGAUUUAAAAUUAUCCUAAAUGAAUGCAAGGAAUUUAAUGCUAGGAAUUGAUCGGUGGUUACCUUCUUAGUCGGACUGUUUGCUUCUUUUGUAGUAUAAAAUGUCAAGAUUUGAAGGAGAAGCUUCAUCAAGUUUUACCUUUAGUGUGCAGCCGAAGAUAUCUGCAUUCAUGUAAACAAGAACUUCAGUCAAAGUGGAUUAGUCAGAUCUUAAAAUUUCUCUUAUUGUAAUGCUGAUUAUUAAAAUAUUGUUCAUUGAAAUAAUGAUUCGAUUUUAAUUUUUUAA